rnacentral:lncRNA from 1 species
GCCAGAAGAGAUUAACAUUUGAGUCACUGGGCUGGGGAAGGCAGAUCUACCCUUAAUCUGGUGGGCACAAUCUCAUCAGCUGCCAGCAAAUAUAAAGCAGGCAGAAAAACGUGAAAAGGAGAGACUGGCCUAGACUCUCAGCCUGCAUCUUUCUCCUGAGUUGGAUGCUUUCUGCCCUCAGACAUCGAACUCCACGUUCUUCAGUUUUGGGACUCAGAAUGGCUCUCCUUGCACCUCAGCUUGCAGACAGCCUAUUGUAGGACCUUGUGAUCAUAGGUGAUUUCAAAGGAAGAAGACUGGAAGAGAUACACACAUGAAUUGCGUACAUCAGAAUGAAAUGUCUAUAUAAUUUUGAAAAUCAAACUGUUUAUACACUGUUUGAAAGAUUCAUUUCGGCCUUACAUUUGCUAAUCGCACAAGAUGUUACAGAAUACCACCAUUUGUUAUCUACAAAUCCAAAGAACAAAUGAAUAAACUGUAUUCAGCCAUGUGUAUAAUCAUCCCUCAGUUGAUCCUCAGUGCAUUUAUAGCAUAGUGGGAGUGUGGCUUUUUCUGCCUCUUCUCUGUAACAUAUAAAAGGUAUUAACUUUCACUUAAAAAGGAAAUAAUGAAAGAAAGAAGCAGCAGCUUCUGUUGGUACAUAAACAUCAGGCAUGGAGAUUCUAUACUGCAUCCUAGGAGAAACCAGGGAACCAAAAUAAUGAGCUUAAAACCGCAGAAAUCAUUGUUUAUGAUUCAAUUAUUUGAAAGCAGUUACUAAAAAAAACUUACAUGAUACUAGUAUAUUUUCCUUUGUAAUAUAUGCUACUUUGUUUAUCCAUCCCAGAAAUUUGUCUUUAUUUUAAUUGCUGUUAAGCUCUUUGCUGGAGGUUUUAGUUUCAUCCUCUCAUACUCCCAGGUUUUCUAUUUGGACUUUGUAGCUUGUGGUCACUGAGGUUACAUUUGCUUUUCCUCUUUUAUGUUUAGCUUCAUUGCCUCAAACUUUUCUUUCCACUGAAUGCAUAUGAGGUCAUUUAUCUCUUCAUAUUUCUAUUCAGUCUAAGCACAGAUUGUAUGUGUGUGUGUUUUGUUGCUUGUUUCUUUUAAUAGAAGUGUGGCUUCUAUCAUUCUUUCCUAACUCAUUAAAAUAUCCAGAUUUCUUUUACUAGUGCUUAUUUCUUCUUUAUCAUGGAAUAGCACAAAACAUCAC